rfam:Lentisphaerae bacterium GWF2_49_21 gwf2_scaffold_143, whole genome shotgun sequence.
CCCAGGGCUUUCGCCCUGGGCUACAACAUGCCGCCCUCUGCGAGGGCU